rnacentral:lncRNA from 1 species
AAUAUUUCUGUGUUUAUGUAGAUGAGCACAAGUGAUAGCCAUAGUGAACAGUCCAAAAGUGAUUCUGAUGCUAUGCCAACCUCAAGGAGGCAAAGGAGAAAAAAAUACAUGAUGGCUACACUUGUUGGUAUCAUGUACAGUGAGAAGUAUCUCAUGAAAAAGAAGAGAAGAGUUCCGAUAAUGACCGGACAACAGUGGGUUACUGAGAACUUGAGUAGUCCAAAAGAUUGCUAUAACAUGUUCAGGAUGUACAAGCCUUGUUUUGAUAGGUUGCAUCGUACACUUGUACACAAAUAUGGCUUGAAAGGAACAAGAAACAUGAGUUCAGAAGAAGCAUUGAGUAUGUUUCUCUGGACGGUUGGGGGCCCUCAAUCCGUAAGCCAAGUGGAGAAUCAUUUCAAGAGAUCAACCGAAGUUAUACAUCGCAAAUUCAAUGAAGUAUUGAAAUGCUUGAAUGACAUGGUUGUAGACAUCAUUCGACCAAGUGAUCCGGAGUUCAGAGUUGUACAUGGUAGGCUUCGAGAUGCAAGAUCCGCACCUCACUUUGAUGGUUGCAUAGGUGCAAUUGAUGGGUCGCAUAUUCCUGUAAUAGUUCCAAAUGAUGAGAUCGUCAACCAUGUUGAUCGACAUGGAUACCCAACACAAAAUAUCAUGGCAGUGUAUGACUUUGACAUGAGAUUCACUUCUAUUAUCACGGGAUGGCCAGGGUCAGCACAUGACACAAGGAUAUUCAGAGAUACUUUGGUGAAGUAUGCAGAUAGGUUUCCACAUCCACCGAUGGGUAUCUAUUUCAUUUACAUGCGCAUGACAAUAUUGUUUUAGUUAGCUUGUUCAUCCCUUGUGUAAAACUAGUACUUUAUGCAGGGAGGUACUAUCUUGUGGAUAGUCUGGCGGCGUUUUCCCUGAUCUCGCGCCCUUUUCAUCCGCUGGCACUGUUUUCCCUUUCCCGUCCAUUGGGCUGGGCUGGAUCGUGUUUGUGGGCCGACUGUGCUCUGUGUUUUCCUGGUUUUUGGCUGCUGUCGUCGGAUGACCAGCGAACCGUGAUACGGGAAGGACGUCCCUCAGCAGUACUUUGAAGUACGUCAGAGGAUCUUCUUCCGUGAGACGUAACUAGAUGAGAUGAAUGAUUAGUGUUAGCUUGAGGAAGCUGAUUGUGGUGGCCUCCUGCUUCCCGGUGAAGUCCAUAGCCACCGGGGUCCCUUCAUCUCCACCACCGGGAGAACCUAGAUCCACAGGCUGGUAGUCAAAUCGGGACCUCGAGGGGCGCAGGAGCAAGCAGAUCGGGAGCACCCAGAUGCACGAAUAUCAAAUUUGGGAAGAACGUGACAAAGGGAAACGAAGCUAAUUGGAAUUUUGGAACGGAAAUCACUAAAAUUGGGGUUGCUCACCUCUUCCCGUGCACUCAUGCCCAACCAAACUUCAAUCCAAACAGUGGCAAUGUUGUCAUGUAGUAGCCCAAUGCAGCGCUGCCGUGAUCACCUGCCACGGCUCCGGUGGGAUCACUAGCCACCGCUCCGUGCACAGCGCGGUCCAAUACCUAUGCAGACGCCGCACACCACGCCGCCGGACCACCCAAUGCUGAGACCAUGCCGCCCCACCAGCAUGACAAACAAUGGCUUAACUCCGAG